UACAGAGACUGCAAGCGUUAUUCGGAUUCACUGGGCGUAAAGGGUGCGCAGGCGGCCAAGUGUGUUAGGCGUGAAAGCCCGAGGCUUAACCUCGGAAUUGCACCUAAAACUACAUGGCUAGAGUACUGGAGAGGGUAACGGAAUUCACGGUGUAGCAGUGAAAUGCGUAGAUAUCGUGAGGAACACCAGAGGCGAAGGCGGUUACCUGGGCAGUUACUGACGCUCAGGCACGAAAGCGUGGGGAGCAAAAGGG
rnacentral:rRNA from 1 species